UUUCCGUAGGUGAACCUGCGGAAGGAUCAUUAUUGUAUAACCGAGGUGCGAGGUCUGUCGCUGACCCGAAAGGGCGUGCACGCCCGAGUGAUAACACACACAACCAUCUUAUGCUUAUGUGCACAACCGGGUGGGUCUACAUCUGGCUAGUUGCGAGGGGGGCUUAUGUUUUUACACAAUCUUUGUAUGCAGUGUAGAAUGUAUUUUUAGUUUAUCUGAUCAAGCAAAAAAAUCAACUUUUAAAAACGGAUGGCUUGGCUCUCGCCUCGAGGAAGAACC
rnacentral:misc_RNA from 1 species